rnacentral:rRNA from 1 species
UCGAGGAUCUUCGGCAAUGGGCGCAAGCCUGACCGAGCGACGCCGCGUGUGCGAAGAAGGCCUUCGGGUUGUAAAGCACUGUCGAGGGGAAGAAAGACCCGCAAGGGUUUGAUCGACCCCUGGAGGAAGCACGGGCUAAGUUCGUGCCAGCAGCCGCGGUAAGACGAACCGUGCGAACGUUGUUCGGAAUCACUGGGUUUAAAGGGCGCGUAGGCGGGCUGUCAAGUCGGUGGUGAAAUCUUUCGGCUCAACCGGAAAAUCGCCUUCGAUACUGGCGGCCUUGAGGGAGGUAGGGGCAUGCGGAACUUCCGGUGGAGCGGUGAAAUGCGUAGAUAUCGGAAGGAACACCGAUGGCGAAAGCAGCGUGCUGGACCUUUUCUGACGCUGAGGCGCGAAAGCCAGGGGAGCAAACGGGAUUAGAUACCCCGGUAGUCCUGGCCCUAAACGAUGGGUACUGGGUUGUGGACUGGACAUGGGUUCACAGCCGCAGCAAAAGUGUUAAGUACCCCACCUGGGGAGUAUGGUCGCAAGGCUG